CAGUCGCCGCGGUAAUACAGAGGGUGCGAGCGUUAAUUGGAUUUACUGGGCGUAAAGCGUGCGUAGGCGGCUUUUUAAGUCGGAUGUGAAAUCCCUGAGCUUAACUUAGGAAUUGCAUUCGAUACUGGGAAGCUAGAGUAUGGGAGAGGAUGGUAGAAUUCCAGGUGUAGCGGUGAAAUGCGUAGAGAUCUGGAGGAAUACCGAUGGCGAAGGCAGCCAUCUGGCCUAAUACUGACGCUGAGGUACGAAAGCAUGGGGAGCAAACAGGAUUAGAUACCCGAGUAGUCCCUGUCUCUUAUAC
rnacentral:rRNA from 1 species